CCUACGGGGGGCAGCAGUGAGGAAUAUUGGUCAAUGGGCGGAAGCCUGAACCAGCCAAGUAGCGUGCAGGAUGACGGCCCUACGGGUUGUAAACUGCUUUUAUACGGGAAUAACGCGCCUUACGUGUACGGCUUUGCAUGUACCGUAUGAAUAAGGACCGGCUAACUCCGUGCCAGCAGCCGCGGUAAUACGGGAGAUGCAAGCGUUAUCCGGAUUUAUUGGGUUUAAAGGGUGCGUAGGUGGUGAGGUAAGUCAGCGGUGAAAUGCCCCCGCUCAACGGUGUGAAGUGCCAUUGAUACUGCCUGGCUGGAAUACGGAUGCGGUGGGAGGAAUGUGUGGUGUAGCGGUGAAAUGCAUAGAUAUCACACAGAACACCGAUUGCGAAGGCAUCUCACGAAUCCGCAAUUGACGCUGAUGCACGAAAGCGUGGGUAUCAAACAGGAUUAGAUACCCUAGUAGUC
rnacentral:rRNA from 1 species